rnacentral:rRNA from 1 species
UACUUUGGUGGCGACCGGCGCACGGGUGCGUAACGCGUAUGCAACCUACCUUUAACAGGGGCAUAACACUGAGAAAUUGGUACUAAUUCCCCAUAACAUUCGAGAAGGCAUCUUCUUGGGUUAAAAACUCCGGUGGUUAAAGAUGGGCAUGCGUUGUAUUAGCUAGUUGGUGAGGUAACGGCUCACCAAGGCAACGAUACAUAGGGGGGCUGAGAGGUUAACCCCCCACAUUGGUACUGAGACACGGACCAA